rnacentral:rRNA from 1 species
AACGAACGCUGGCGGCAGGCUUAACACAUGCAAGUCGAACGCCCCGCAAGGGGAGUGGCAGACGGGUGAGUAACGCGUGGGAAUCUACCUAGUUCUACGGAACAACAGAGGGAAACUUCUGCUAAUACCGUAUACGCCCUAAGGGGGAAAGAUUUAUCGGAAUUAGAUGAGCCAGCGUAAGAUUAGCUAGUUGGUGGGGUAAUGGCCUACCAAGGCGACGAUCUUUAGCUGGUCUGAGAGGAUGAUCAGCCACACUGGGACUGAGACACGGCCCAGACUCCUACGGGGGGCAGCAGUGGGGAAUAUUGGACAAUGGGCGCAAGCCUGAUCCAGCCAUGCCGCGUGAGUGAUGAAGGCCCUAGGGUUGUAAAGCUCUUUCAGUGGGGACGAUAAUGACGGUACCCACAGAAGAAGCCCCGGCUAACUUCGUGCCAGCAGCCGCAGUAAGAC